CUUCAAUAUUUUCUUUCGUUUCUGUAUUUUCAUUCUUAACCUUCAAUAUUUUCUUUCGUUUCUGUAUUUUCAUUCUUAACCUUCAAUAUUUUCUUUCGUUUCUGUAUUUUCAUUCUUAACCUUCAAUAUUUUCUUUCGUUUCUGUAUUUUCAUUCUUAAACUUCAAUAUUUUCUUUAACUUCAACUAUAAAAUCUUCUUUUGAUUCCACAUUUCCGUUCUUAAUAACUUCAACCUCUUCUUUUGUUUGCGAUUUCCAUUCUUGACUUGCAAAAUCUUCCUCAAUUUCCGCAUUCCCAUUCUUGAACUUUAACCUUUUCCUCUAUCUCCACAUUUCCGCUGACCUUAACUUUCAAUUUCUCCCCCAUUUCCACACUUACACAAUCCCUCUAUCGUCAAGUUCGUACACGGUGGUCCGACGAUAUCUUUCCAUUUCCAUUUCCAUUCAUAAACCUUCAAAUUUUCUUCUACUUUCACAUUAACAUAAAUUUCUUAAUCAUCAGCUUCGAACACAGUAAUCUAAUGCUAGUUUUACACCCACAUACGAGGCCAAUUUCCGACCCUAAGCAGAAAUGAGCGAGGAAUCAAGGUGGUAUUGUGUUUGUAUUGCCGGUCAUUACGUCACAACAUGGGGUAGUGAACGGGGUGUAAGCGAGGGGUCCUUCUGUCGUGUCGCGCAUAACAGGAACGCUCAUGGAACCUCUAAGCACAUGUACGGGUCUGGGGUCGUGUCGCUAGGAAGGACACACACACACACACACACACACACACACACACACACACACACACACACAUGGCUUUGUUUACGUUCUGGACAUCUUGAGGAAACAUAACCUGCCUUGAUGAUAAGACAGACAAAUCUCUCUCUCUCUCUCUCUGAUGACACUGCCACCCAUACUCAUGUUGCCUUCUCUGUGUGUGUGUGUGUGUGUGUGUGUGUGUUUACCUAAUCGGUGUUUUAAAGGGCCUGGGCUUACGCUCAUGUGGUCCCGUCUCCAUAUCUGUACUUGUCCAACUUUUCCUUAGUGUGUGUGUGUGUGUGUGUGUGUGUGUGCAUGGGUGGAGGAGGUGUGUGGUAGUGGCCGCCUCUCCACCACCACCACAACCAAGCUGACGUCACCCUACAGCAUAUCGCUACCGCCAGACUCUGCACUUCGCCACCCCAAUGAGAGGCUGUCUGGGGCUGUUUGGGGACCUCUGAGUGACAGGGACAGCACUACACACACUACACAGCCCUUCCUCAGCCCUCCUGCACAGCGCCACACAGCACACUUGGGAGGUUCUUACGUUGGUGUACUGGUGGGUUGCGGAACUUGCCAUUCUUGCUUGGAAACAUCACAAUCAUUAGCUCGCCAUCGUAACACUGGGCUGGUUAGACACACUGGUUAUCUGCAUGUGUGUGUGUGUGGAAGUGAGACUACCUCCACCUGUGCUUCCACCUGUAUGGCUGUUAACGAGGCAGGUGGAGCAGAACGGUCGAGAAAUACUGUUAGUUUGCAUGGAUCUGAGAAACGUCCGAUCGGCAGUGAGUGGGUACAGUGUGUGGCUGAGGUUUCUUGUACGAGGGCGUGAGCAAAGCGAGUGUCUAUCUGUUCCCUCCAUGGCCUGUGUUGUUGCUGAACCAGGUACAAAAUCUACACACAGGAGGGAAGGGAGUUUGUUGUGGUGUUGUGUGUUGAUGGGUGGAGUUCCCAGGCUAACCGUCAUCUUGUCCCCUCACAGAGCCUUCCCUCCAUGGCCCAGGGUGUUGCUAUGGUGCCAGGUACAAAAUCUACACACGGGAGAGAAGGGAGUUUGUUGCGGUGUUGUGUGUUGAUGGUAGGAGUUCCCAGGCUAACCCUCAUCUUGUCCCCUCACAGAGCCUUCCCUCCAUGGCCUGGGGUGUUGCUAUGGUGCCAGGUACAAAAUCUACACACGGGAGACAAGGGAGUUUGUUGAAGCGUUGUGUGUUGAUGGUAGGAGUUCCCAGGCUAACCCUCAUCUUGUCCCCUCACAGAGCCUUCCCUCCAUGGCCCGGGGUGUUGCUAUGGUGCCAGGUACAAAAUCUACACACAGGGGAAGAGGGAGUUUGUUGUGGUGUUGUGUGUUGAUGGUAGGAGUUCCCAGGCUAACCCUCAUCUUGUCCCCUCACAGAGCCUUCCCUCCAUGGCCCGGGGUGUUGGUAUGGCGCCAGGUACAAAAUCUACACACAGGGAAGAAGGGAGUUUGUUGCAGCGUUGUGUGUUGAUGGUAGGAGUUCCCAGGCUAACCCUCAUCUUGUCCCCUCACAGAGCCUUCCCUCCAUGGCUUGGGGUGUUGUUAUGGUGCCAGGUACAAAAUCUACACACAGGAGGGAAGGGAGUUUGUUGCGGUGUUGUGUGUUGAUGGUAGGAGUUCCCAGGCUAACCGUCAUCUUGUCCCCUCACAGAGCCUUCCCUCCAUGGCCUGGGGUGUUGGUAUGGUGCCAGGUACAAAAUCUACACACAGGAGAGAAGGGAGUUUGUUGCGGUGUUGUGUGUUGAUGGUAGGAGUUCCCAGGCUAACCGUCAUCUUGUCCCCUCACAGAGCCUUCCCUCCAUGGCCCGGGGUGUUGCUAUGGUGCCAGGUACAAAAUCUACACACAGGAGGGAAGGGAGUUUGUUGUGGUGUUGUGUGUUGAUGGGUGGAGUUCCCAGGCUAACCCUCAUCUUGUACCCUCACAGAGCCUUCCCUCCAUGGCCCGGGGUGUUGUUAUGGCGCCAAAUACAAAAUCUACACACAGGGGAAGAAGGGAGUUUGUUGCGGUGUUGUGUGUUGAUGGCAGGAGUUCCCAGGCUAACCCUCAUCUUGUCCCCUCACAGAGCCUUCCCUCCAUGGCCUGGGGUGUUGCUAUGGUGCCAGGUACAAAAUCUACACACAGGAGGGAAGGGAGUUUGUUGUGGUGUUGUGAGUUGAUGGUUGGAGUUCCCAGGCACCCUCAUCUUGUCCCCUCACAGAGCCUUCCCUCCAUGGCCCGGGGUGUUGUUAUGGCGCCAAAUACAAAAUCUACACACAGGAGGGAAGGGAGUUUGUUGUGGUGUUGUGUGUUGAUGGUAGGAGUUCCCAGGCUAACCCUCAUCUUGUCCCCUCACAGAGCCUUCCCUCCAUGGCCUGGGGUGUUGUUAUGGCGCCAGGUACAAAAUCUACACACAGGAGGGAAGGGAGUUUGUUGAAGCGUUGUGUGUUGAUGGUAGUUGUUCCCAGGCUCAUCCACGUCUUGGUCUAAGGCUCCGGGUAACAGGCUCAGGGUCACGCGGUUAUGCUAGAGAGUGAGUCCGUUGUGAUAGUGACUUGCGGCCGUCACUUCAUCGGUCUGGGAGGAAGGGGGGAGUCACCAUCACCACACCAUCAGAGCAGGCAAACGUCACUCUCUUGAGCCCACGAAAACAGCUUCAGGAGGCGUGUUCUGAGAGUGGCUUGCAAACAUUAGUCUUCAGAGGCCACACUACAGCUCUGAUAGGCAAGUUCCGUGGCUGACUUCCGCCCUCCACUUCACCAGUUCAGGAGGAAGGAAGGAGAGUCACCAUCACCAAACCAUCA